CCUCAGGUACUGAGGAGUCCUUGUGGAAUUCCCCUUUGGAGUUGAGAGUUUCACAAGUUGUACAAUCACAAGGAGGGCACCUGUCUCUUUCUUCGUUUGGGCAUAUUCAACCAACACCUUCUGUCUUCAGCUUGAUGAGUAAGGAAGGACUGAAAGAAAUUCUAUGGCAGUACUGGCUGUGCCUGAGAAACCUCCUGCCACUCAAGCCCAGCAAGGACACAGGCAGGUUACUGAGUAGAUGGAUUGACCAGAGCUUCCUAUAAUACCAAGGAAAGUUUCACGGAGAACAUCUGGAAUUAAGUCAACUUGAGUGGAUUGAAGGAUGCAAAGUAUUUUUCCUGGGUGUGUCUGUCAGGGCGUUGCCAAAGGAGAUCAACAUUUGAGUCAGUGGCCCGGAAGAGGCAGACCCACCCUCUAUCUGGGUAGGCACCAUCUAAUCAGUUGCCAGUGUGGCUGGAAUAAAGCAGGCAGAAGAACAUGGAAGGACUUGACUUGCUGUCUUCUGGCCUUCAUCUUUCUCCUGUGGUGGAUGCUUCCUGCCCUUGAACCUUAGACUCCAGGUUCUUCAGCUUUUGGACUCUUGGACUUACACCAGUAAUUUGCCAGGGGCUGUCUCUCUAGCAUCCUUGCUCCUCAGCUUGCAGACAGCCUAUUGUGGGACUUCAAUUUGUGAUUGCAUGAGUCAAUACUUCUUAAUAAAUUCUCCUCCAUAUAUACAUCUGUCCUGUUUUUUCUGUUCCUUUAGAGAACCCUAAUUAAUACAGAUUUAUUCUCUUCCAGAUUCUUUUUAGAAAAAUUACAGAGAAUAUUGGAUU
rnacentral:lncRNA from 10 species